rnacentral:tRNA from 1 species
GAUUCCGUAGUGUAGUGGUUAUCACGUGAGUCUAACACACUCAAGGUCCCCGGUUCGAGCCCGGGCGGAAUCA